UGAGGAAUAUUGGUCAAUGGGCGAAAGCCUGAACCAGCAACGCCGCGUGAGGGAUGAAGGCCUUCGGGUUGUAAACCUCUUUUCUGGGAGAAGAGACAAGGACGGUAUCCCAGGAAUAAGUCUCGGCUAACUACGUGCCAGCAGCCGCGGUAAAACGUAGGAGGCUAGCGUUAUCCGGAUUUACUGGGCGUAAAGCGCACGCAGGCGGUCACGUAAGUCGGACGUGAAAUCUCUCGGCUCAACUGGGAGGGGCCGUUCGAUACUGCGUGACUUGAGGUUGGGAGAGGGAAGCGGAAUUCCCGGUGUAGUGGUGGAAUGCGUAGAUAUCGGGAGGAACACCAGUGGCGAAAGCGGCUUCCUGGCCCACACCUGACGCUCAGGUGCGAAAGCGUGGGUAGCGAACGG
rnacentral:rRNA from 1 species